AUUUUAAUACCUCAUAGUGUCGACAUUGGGGGGCAAAUAGGUAAUGACAAAUAACCCCUCAAACAUAAAUAAUCUGGUGAGAUGCAUUAAUCGGUCAAUCAAUUAUAACCCAUUUAUGUGGAAAUGUUUUUUAACCAAAAUCAUACACAGACUUCAUAACCCUAUUUUCGAUUCAUCCCUAAUUUCCAAUUCUUCGUUGGUCUUGUACCAGACAGUCUCGUAUAUCAUCUCCACCAGGCAGUCUCGUAUAUCUCAAAAACUGUAUGGUUUGUAAAUCAUGUUGCCGAUUACCCAUUCCGAAUGAUUCUGUAUGGCGAAGUGGAAGAACAACAUCAUCGGCUUUUCCGAGUAUUAUCUCGAUAAAGGCAUGCCUUAUUUUCUUUUGAGAAUAUAAAAGCGGAGGUAAGGGAUUAUUUUGGGUUUAUUGUUCUUGAGUUUUUCGUUAAGGGUUAGUCAGCAGUUUAUUUUAACACGCAGCUGUAUGGUAGAUUUCGUCUACCAGUUUCUAGGUUUUAUUCCUCCGUUUCUUUCGUUUAAUGAUGUUCUCCAAAAACUGUUGACAGAUGUUCAUUAGAUGUAGAUUUUUUUUGAAAAUUAUCCAGGCUGCCUAGCCUCCAAUUUCUUUAUUUUAUUUAAUGAUCUAGAGUACCUAUUGAUUAUCAAUUUACAGAUUAUCGAGGGAUGACUUCUUCGACUCUUUAGGUAAAUCAAGAUGCAGCGGGGUCUGGUUAUCCUCUCGGCUGUAUAGAUCGGGUGGUAGGGAUUUUGGGGUAGAUCGGGAGAGAUUGUCCAUGAAAAAAUCGGUAGGGAUUUAUCCAAAUAAAUUAGAACCCAAUAUAUAUCCGAAAAAUUUAUCCGGAUAUAACCGGAUAAUUAUUUGGAUAUAACUAAUUCGGUUAGUAUAACCGAUAGUAGAUACUAUUCGGUUUGAUACUAUUAGGUUAUAUUAUUUUUCCGUUUAUACCCAUCACUCUAUAAUUUCACAUUAAUUAUAUGGAUUUGGAUUUGGAUUAUCGAAAAAUUAUCCUGAAAUCGUUUAAAUAGAAGAGAUAUUGGUAUCAAUUUCUAGAAUUCCACUGACUUUUUAAAAUCUUAUUAUGGUUAAACUUUUUUGUGUAAAAGUAAUUAACGGUCAAAUCUAUAGUAUUAAAUUUGUUACAUUUAGUUUAAUACAAUGUGUGAAAUACGUUAUGUGAAGGUAUUGGUAAAUUUGACAAUGGUCUUUUAUUAAAUAAAUUUAUUGUAUUAGACUAAUUUUUUCAGGUCUAGUCUUUUCACUAUGGCAGUCUGCACAGGUUAAUCAUCUAUCGGGGGCAAGUCUGCGCACGUCCGAUCGACGUCAUUCAUGUUUCCUUCUGCAGCUUUUUUGGAGGAGGUUAGUCGGUGGAAAAAUCUGAGUGUGGUUUAACUUCUGUAGGUUUACCAAGGUUAGACAGUGGUUUAACUUGGUUUAAAUUUUUAGUCACCAUCUACAUCUUAUUCUUCCGACAACGAUGGUUUAAAUUUUUAGUCUGCCUCUACAUCUUAUUCUUCAUCGUUUACUAUUUUACUCUUUCGUUAUUUGCCGUCGUAACAAUCUGAUGUUCUGCAGGUGACCCAUCUGAAAAUGGAUACUGAUCAGGACUAAAGGAGACCCAUCAAAUAAUGUUCUGCAGGUGCCGUCGUAACCUGAUGUUAGUAAUCCUCGUAAAAAACGGUACAAAUCUUGUGAAAAUCACAUGAAAACAAGGUAAAGAUUCGACGCAUUAAUAUCAGAUUUACUACUUUGAAUUACUCUAUCUAUUUAAUACUCUGUAAAAAUCUGUUUAAAUUACUCUGUAAAAAGCUGACGUAUUUAAUAUUCUGUAAAAAUCUGCUGACACUCUAGCCGACCAUCUAUCCAUUACAAGUUUUCCUUUAUAAUUUAUUAAUUUUUUACAAAUAUCAAGAAAAUAUGAUUACACUUACACACUAUAAAU
rnacentral:lncRNA from 1 species